ensembl:lncRNA
CUGACUGAUAUUAUUAAUCGUGGUUCUUAGGCUUCACUUGGUCACUUUGGGACUUCACCAAAAAUUGAAAAAAAAAAAAAGGUAACAGAACCUUCAAGGAGCACAGGAGGGGCAGCUGAGACAGGAUGACAAUGGUGGCAGCAACACUGAAGUGGACCUGUCAGAAGACACCGCACCCGAGUGUAGAUGACCUGGCUCCUGGCGAUAGGAAACAGUCCUGGAUUUGGAAUGCAUUGCUAAAUUGUGUCCAAUGUCGUCGUGAUGUCAAGGACUAUAGCCUGCCAGACUUCUCUGUCCAUGGGAUUUUCCAGGCAAGAAUGCUGGAGAGGGUUGCCAUUUCCUUCUCGAAGGCAUCUUCUGAAGCCAGAGAUCAAACCUGAAUAUCCUGCAUUGCAGCUAUUUCAAAGGUAUGGCAGUGUCAGAAGCUAAAUGGAUUAAGGAAGGAAUUUGGAGAAGGCAAUGGCACCCCACUCCACUGCUCUCGCCUGGAAAAUCCCAUGCAUGGAGGAGCCUGGUGGGCUGCAGUCCACGGGGUCGCUAAGAGUCGGACACGACUGAGCAACUUCACUUUCACUUUUCACUUUCAUGCAUUGGAGAAGGAAAUGGCAACCCACUCCAGUGUUCUUGCCUGGAGAAUCCCAGGGACGGGGGAGCCUGGUAAGCUGCCGUCUAUGGGGUCGCACAGAGUCGGACACGACUGAAGUGACUUAGCAGCAGCAAGGAAGGAAUUAAAAGGUGCUUGCUCCUUGGAAGAAAAACUGACAAACCUAAGGCAGAGACAUCUCUCUGCCAAAAAUGACCCGUCCAGUCAAGGCUGUGGCUUUCCCAGUGGUCACAUACGGAUGUGAGAGUUGGACUGUAGAGAAAGCUGAGUGCUGAAGAAUUGAUGCUUCUGAACUGCGGUGUUGGAGAAGACUCUUGAGAGUCCCUUGGACAGCGAGAGAUUGAAUAAGUCAAUCCUAAAGGAAAUCAGUCCUGAAUAUUCAUUAGAAGGACUGAUGCUGAAGUUGAAGCUCCAAGACUUUGGCCACCUCAUGCGAAGAACUGACUCAUUGGAAAAGACCCUGAUCCUGGAAGAGAUUGAAGGCAGGAGGAAAAGGGGAUGACAGAGGAUGACAUGGUUGGAUGGCAUCACAGACUCAAUGGACAUGAGUGUGAGCAAGCUCUAGGAGUUAGUGGUGGACAGGGAAGCCUGGAGUGCUGCAGUCCAUGGGAUCACACAGAAUCGGACAUGACUGAGUGACUGAACUGAACUGACUGAAGCUGAAGCUCCAAUACUUUGGUCACCUGAUUCGAAGAGCCAACUCACUGGAAAAGACCCUGAUGCUGGGAAAGAUUGAGGACAGGAGAACAAGUGGGCAACAGAGGAUGAGAUGGUUACAUAGCAUCACUGACUCAAUGGACAUGACUGAGCAAACUCCAGGAGAUGGUGGAGGACAGGUGAGCCUGGUCCCCUGCAAUCCAUAGGGUUGCGAAGAGUCAGACACGACUUAGGAACUGAGCUGAUUUUGAUGAUAACACGGACGAACCAAGGAGCAGAUGACCAACAUGUGCUCGAUGGAAAGGUCCUUGAGUCUGAGUUGGUCAAGGAACGGGACCCUAGAGUACGGAAGCCCUAGUUGCACAAAAGCACAGGGGGAUGAACAGUGACUGUGAGGCAGAGACCAUGCGAAGCAGCUGCAUUAAAAGUGCAAUUCUUCUAUGACUGUAGAAACUUGGUUAGAACACUGAAAACUCCCUUAUUGCCAGUUACACACGUAUACGGAAUUUUCGUUGCAAAAGUGGCCUUUCUUUAGUACACUAUAAUUUCAAACAUGAGAGACAUUCUGUUCAGUUCAGUCAUUCAGUCGUGUCUGACUCUCGGCAACCCCAUGAACCUCAGCAGGCCAGGCCUCCCUGUCCAUCACCGACUCCCAGAGUCCACCCAAACCCAUGUCCGUUGAGUCAGUGAUGCCAUCCAACCAUCUCAUCCUCUGUCGUCCCCUUCUCCUCCUGCCCUCAGUCUUUCCCAGCAUCAGGGUCUUUUCAAAUGAGUCAGCUCUUCGCAUCAGGUGGCCAAAGUAUUGGAGCUUCAGCUCCAACCUCAGGAUUACUAUUUUCUUUUUAAUAACUUUGCCGAGAGUAAUUUAAAUUGUGCUUGCCUUUUCUCACCCUACAACUUUUUCUAUGCCUUGAUAUGGAGAAGGAAAUGGCAACCCACUCCAGUGUUCUUGCCUGGAGACUCCCAGGGUCGGGGGAGCCUGGUGGGCUGCCGUCUCUGGGGUUGCACAGAGUCGGACACAACUGAAGCAACGCAGCAGCAGCAGCAGCAGCAUGCCUUGAUAAAUCAUCGUGCUUAUUCUGAAGUUUGGGUUGGCUACCAACAUUUCAUCUUUUGUGUUUUCAGUGUUGUAAAUUGUUUCCGAGAGUUUCAACGUGAAGUUGUAAGUCAGUCCCACUUCCUCUCAACAUCUUCAUCCUCUGUCCUGACCAGUGGCUGUGACUGGCCCAUGAAGUCUGGGUGCAUCUUCCACGCCACUGAGCCGCCAGCUAGCUCAGUGUUCCAUCCCUGGGUUGGGAAGAUCCUCUGGAGAAGGCAAUGGCACCCCACUCCAGUACUCCUGCCUGGAAAAUCCCAUGGACGGAGGAGACUGGUAGGCUACAGUCCAAGGGAUCCCAAAGAGUCGGACACGACUGAGCGACUUCACUCACUUUCACUUUUAACAUAGUAACUAAUUUUGACAUUUUGGCCUGAAUGCUAGUCAAACUGACUGAGAUUUUCAUUAUUAUUAUUACAGUUGAUACUUGCUCUGUGCAGGUCCACUCACACAGAUUUCUUUUUAAAUGUGUCCUACACGCCCAUGCCUCCUGCGGUCGGCUGAAUCUGCUGAUAUGGAAAAGAAGGUUGGUUAUUCCUGACUUCUCUGUGGCCAGAGUCCGUGAACAACGACCCUGCUUUAGCGGUUCUUCGGGCCACAGCUGUCACGCCUCCGCUGUGGUGGAACCGCCAGCACUGGAUCGUCCGACCCAUCACAACACCCGAGUGAAAAGAAAGCUCUCACCUGCCCGUCUUCCUGUUUACACACCAUUCAACUAACCUGUACUUUUACUGCCCACUAGAUUUGACAUGGAUUUUCAAGUGCUGAUUAUACCUGUGAAAACAGAAUGAAUUAUCACAGACAUUGUCAGCUGCCUCCCCCAAGCCCACCCCCUGCAUCUUUCUGGAGGAGCUCCCACGGAUAGUGGUGUCCACUCUCCGCGUGGCCAUGUGCUUCAGGGAAGGUGAGCUCCAGCCGCACCCCAGGGAGUGAGUCAUAACUGUGCCGUGGGAACACGAUUAAAUCCUAUCAAGGUGCAUAGACGUCCAAGGGGAGAGCAGGAAGACAGAGGCCUGGGAAAUGCAAUUUUGCUCUGUUUAAGGAUGAUUGUGUUACAUUUUUCGGUUCUUGCAAAAAAAAAAAAAAAAAGCCUGCUGAGCAGACUAACAAAUGGGCUGCACACCUGCGAGGCUUCGACCGGAGGGAGAGGCCGGAGUCAGGGAAGCAUUACACGGCUCAGCAUCUUUCUUCAAGCUCGGUAGUUUCUUUCUUUUUUUUUUAUAGUCAAUAACAAGAAUUUUAUUUUGAUUAUUGCAGUAGUUGUAUUUUCUCUGAGAAUGUACGGUCAAAGAUCCAUCAAAUGCACUUUCAUCUUGGACUCUGAAACAUGGUUAAGGCCUGAGAAUUUUUGAGCCUGAGUUGAGGUUCACUGUCAUAUGAUGUAGGGGUA